rnacentral:rRNA from 1 species
AGUGAACGCUGGCGGCGUGCCUAAUACAUGCAAGUCGAACGGAGAUUAAGUAGCUUGCCAUUUAAUCUUAGUGGCGCACGGGUGAGUAAUAUAUAGCUAACUUGCCCAUUACUAAGGGACAACAGUUGGAAACGACUGCUAAUACCUUAUACUCCGUAUCUAUAUAAGUAGAUACGGGAAAGUUUUUCGGUAAUGGAUAGGGCUAUAUCGUAUCAGCUAGUUGGUAAGGUAAUGGCUUACCAAGGCUAUGACGCGUAACUGGUCUGAGAGGAUGAUCAGUCACACUGGAACUGAGACACGGUCCAGACUCCUACGGGAGGCAGCAGUAGGGAAUAUUGCUCAAUGGGGGAAACCCUGAAGCAGCAACGCCGCGUGGAGGAUGACACUUUUCGGAGCGUAAACUCCUUUUCUUGGGAAAGAAUUAUGACGGUACCCAAGGAAUAAGCACCGGCUAACUCCGUG